rnacentral:rRNA from 1 species
GACGAACGCUGGCGGCGUGCCUAAUACAUGCAAGUAGAACGCUGAAGGAGGAGCUUGCUCUUCUGGAUGAGUUGCGAACGGGUGAGUAACGCGUAGGUAACCUGCCUGGUAGCGGGGGAUAACUAUUGGAAACGAUAGCUAAUACCGCAUAAUAGUAGAUGUUGCAUGAUAUUUACUUAAAAGGUGCAAUUGCACCACUACCAGAUGGACCUGCGUUGUAUUAGCUAGUUGGUGGGGUAACGGCUCACCAAGGUGACGAUACAUAGCCGACCUGAGAGGGUGAUCGGCCACACUGGGACUGAGACACGGCCCAGACUCCUACGGGAGGCAGCAGUAGGGAAUCUUCGGCAAUGGACGAAAGUCUGACCGAGCAACGCCGCGUGAGUGAAGAAGGUUUUCGGAUCGUAAAGCUCUGUUGUAAGAGAAGAACGAGUGUGAGAGUGGAAAGUUCACACUGUGACGGUAUCUUACCAGAAAGGGACGGCUAACUACGUG